AAAAAGUUUACAUAAGGUUGCAACCUUAAAAUGUAAAAUUACGGAUGUACCUCAAAAAUGUAUCGAAAAAUAUUGUUUUAAUGUUGAAAACCCUCUAAUUGAUCAUCUCGACCCAGAGAUAUAUGAAAUAUGAAAAAAGAAAAGAUUUUGAGUCCCAUAAAUAGUGCAUCUUGCAACAUAUUAUCUAGACCGUCCAUUUUCAAGAUUUUCAUAGAUCUAUUUAAUUUUAACUAUUUUCGAAAUUUGAAAUUUUAUAAUUUGAUAUAAAAAUAGAUUUUUAUAUUAUCGUAAGUGUAACCUUGUAAAAACCAUAUCCAUAUUUUAUUUAUUUACAUUUAUUUAUAUUAAGGUGGUAAUAAAAUAAUAUGUUAUUCCACUGAUUAUUUUCUCCGUACUCCAUAUGGAAGUACGUAUCUCCGUUGUAUCAGCCGAAAAAACUGUAGUAUGGGUGAUAUUUUCUAGAAAAGGUUUGAAUAUACAAGAAAACUAUAAAACGGUGACAUUUUCUAGAAAAGAUUUCGAUUAGACGGUGAAUGGUAAGGGUGAAAAAAAUGGCUCCAUUACGGCUCCCUCCAUCAUUUUUUCUCAUUCUGAUUUGGUAUCUUUCUUCAAUCUUUAUCCUUUACUCUCAUCCCUUAAUGCAGAACACAGUGCUGCUCCAAUUUUUACUCGAAAAGCCUGCGUUUCCCUCAUUCUGAUUUAGCAUCAGAAAAACCUGCCUUUGCCAAAAUAUGAUUGAGUGAGAAUUGAAAAAAAAUAAAAUUCUAUUAUCGUGCGUUUGCCAAAAUAUGCUACUCCAAAUAAUUGAGUGAGGAUUGAAAAAAAAUAAAAUUCUAUUAUCCCUCAUUCACAAGACCAAUUAUGUUUACGUUAUUCUGAAUUACGUUAUUUACUUGGAUGUUUUCCCCUCUCUCUUAUGACUUUUUUCAAGAUUUAUUUUUAUAGUGCAGUAUCUUCUUCUUCUUUCUUGCAAUAUCCAAUAAAUUUUUCUACAAUGUGAAUGAAAAUACCACUUGAGUCCUCAUUGAAAGAAAAAUGAAUCGGUUAGAAUUCUGAAUUUCCUACACAAUGCGACUUGAGUCCUCAUUGGAAUACAAUGGCGUUCCCAUUUUAUUUUAUUUUAUUUUAAGAUUAAAAUUACUAUUUAAUUUUUGGGACCAUUCUCCCAAUCAGCUCAAUUUGCCAGUUCGGAUUACCGAUGGGCUUAUCCGUACGACUGUUUGAAAGUGAAACACGGGCUCGACUUUAUCAUGUUGGGUAUUUGAUUUGCACCAUUAUAAACUUAUUUUUGUUAUUUAUGAAAACUUCUAAAUUAUUUUUUUUAGCAAGGUUAAAGAGAAAUUUUUAAAUUUUUCAAAUCAAAAUUGUUUCUUUGACAAUAUUCAAAAAUCUCAUUAAAACGGAAUCACAUUACACCGUCAGAUUACAAUCACAUAGUCAAUAUUGUUGAUUUUCUUUCUUAAAAGAAUUUAGUAAAUUUAUUAACAGUCCACAUUAUUGCGUUAUCAAUUUUAUAAGGGCAUGGUUUGUAUACAGUCGAGGCUCUAAACAAUCAAAGUAGAUCCUACCUUCAAAUAGUGUCGAGAAAUGUGGUUUCAAUACCGGAAAUAUUUGUGAUAGUUUUAAAAUAUAUUUUCAUAUUUAAUUAUACAUUUUAAAGCUUCAAAAAUAAUAUAGAUCGAGCAGAUAUAUGAAAGCUUUAAAUCUUGAAAAUUGAUAGUCAAAAAAUGCAUUACAAGAUGCACUAUUUCCAAAACUUAAAAUCCAUUUUUUGCUCAUGUCUAUGCAUCUUGAUGUCGAGAUGAUCAAUUUGACCAUAAUUGGGCAUCAAAAUAACAUCUAGUGAAUUUUUGGAGGUGCACUAUUGUUUAGAGCCUCGGCUCCAUAUAAACUUUUUACAUUUUAUAAGGGCUAAUGAAUUUAUUGUUGGGCAAGAUUGUAUGAGUUUCUCGCAUAUAUUUAUAUGGGUCCUCUUCAAUAUACAUUUCACGGAUAGAUUUUGGAUCUAAAAUUUUAACAAAAAUUCUUAAUUUUUAAAAAUAAAAUUUUAAAAUAAAAAAAUAAGAUUUUUCCAUUACCAUUUUAACACCCUUAAUUUUAAUUUCACGGAACCACUAUUCGUCAACAUGCAUCGACAAGAUUGGAUGCUUAGUGCGUCAACAGACGCUAUUGUAGAAGUGUGUCCAUGAUGCCCAAGUUACUUUUCCUUAAAAUGCUUUUGGUAAAGCCAGUUCCUUUAGCUCAGACUGGACACGUCAUAUUAUCUGAGCUUUGGCAUCCUUUGUUCUUAAGGAAAAAUCACGUUAUUAAAGGGUAUUUAAAAAAUCAAAUUAUUUUUUCUAAAUUAACCAUGCAAACAUAUGUUUAUCUAUAAUUUUUAUGUCUUUAUGAUAAUAUGUAAACUUUUUUUAUCAUAUUCUCUAUUUUUAUAUUUUUCAAUUUUUUUUUAAUUGUUUCAUGUGCCUCACUUCAUAACUCAUCAAAAAUUGUUGUUUAAGUCUAUGGGAAACCUUUACAUCAAUCAUCUUGGCUUGAACAUUAUGGUUAUAAAAAAAAAAAUUAAGAUUUCAGAUUUUAAAAAUAAUGUAUAUUGUAACAAAUUUUCUCGACCGUCCAUUUCACCUUAAACAUAAACGUUCGCAGAUGUGCAAGAUCUCUACAUUUUUUGAGUUUCAAAAUUUAUUGUUAGUGGCGGAAUUUGGUUUUAGAGCCAUCAUGAAGAUUUAUGUUGUCGAAAGUACUCUUUAAACUAGGAUUCGAGGUACGGCUUUAUUAUUUUUUCAUAAAACCUAAGCUUUAUAGAAACUUCAUCCAAAGACAAAUGGUCUCUUUAUAUACAAUCCUCUCUCUCUACAGAGAGAGAGUUAACAUUUCUAUUACUUGGGAACUAUUAUGAAUAGUAAUUUAGGUGGAAUCCCAGCGGUCGGAUCUUUAUCGAGUGAUUCGAAAUAUAUAUUACUAUUUAAUUUUAAUUUUUUUUGUUAUAAAUCUAAAUAAGAUAAAAUUUUGGGUGUAUAUACCUAACACAAUUUUGCACCAUAUAAAAAUAUAAAAAAAUUAUUUUCAAUGAUGUAAAAUGACCAAAUUACCCCCACACUUUUCAUCAUCAUUUUAUAUUUUGAAAAAUAUUUUUUAUAAAUUUUAAUACACACGUCUAAAAUUUCAUUAUGAUCCGAUUUCUUAAAAAAUAUUAAAAUUCAUAGAAUAAUAUAUAUUCUAAACCACAUGAUGAAAAUAUGACGGCUGAGACUCCACUUAUAUUACUAUUCAUUAUAAGUACCCAUGUUUGUUAGCUUUUUCCAUAUUCUGGGAUUCCAUCUAUAUUACUAUUCAAUAUAGCUGCCGGUGUUUGUUAGCUUUUUUCAUAUUAAGUAUAUUAUAUUAAUUACAAUACUAUUCAUAUAAUAUUAUAUAAUUAAGAGCAAUGAUUUCAUGCAACUGUUGUAUAGUAAUAUGAUGCAACAGUCUUAAAAAACCAUCUUAUGGCCAAUUGCUUGAUCCAAAUUUUGAAAUAUACACUAUUUUUAUUAUAAUGAACAAUUACAAAAAAGAAAAAAUUGAAAACACAACUUAGAAAGUAUUUGUUUUGCCCAAUUAACACAGGCCAUUCAUUUUUGUGAGAUACUUGGAUCUAGGCCUUAGAAGGAUUUUUUCAUUUCUAAUUUUUUUGGAUGGCUUUAUUUCAUUAGAUGAACAAUGUUAAAAAUAAAAUAAAAUUGAUUUUGAGUUUAUAAAGGCUAAGAUCUUGAAAUUCACAAAAUGAAUGGUCUAGAUUCGUUUUUGGAUGGGACUCAUUUUAACCACAUCUAGGAUUCAAAUUGAACUUUUUUUUUUUAAGAAUUGAUUAUUGAGAUGAAGAGAGUGUGUGUGUAAAAUUUGGGGUCAUACAAAUACCACAAACAUGGUUUUCUAGAGGUAUCGUUGCAUACUAUCAUACAACCGUUGCAUGAGAUCAUUGCUCUAUAAUUAAUUAUAAUUCCAUCUAUACUACUAUUCAUUUAAAAUUAAUUAUACUGAAAACAUUAUUGAAAUAAAUAUUAUAAUAAUUACAAAACUAUAUUUUUCCAAUUUCCUCUAGUUUUAACAUUAGGGUACGAAGAAAGAAAAAAAAAAAUCACUUAAGAUUAACAUACCUAUUUGGUCUCCUCCAAUAUCCUAACAUAUUUAUC
rnacentral:lncRNA from 1 species